ensembl:snoRNA
CGUGAGGCAAGAGUCACUCCUGGACAUGGAUUUGUUGGCCUGGUGUGCUAUAGACCUCGCAGAGAAAAUGUCUUUGUUUAUUCAUUGACUGUAGUCUGUUAUGGUCCAGUCAAUCACCAACUCAGAUACACGA